AUUUCUUAGAAACAGCAUUCUUCUGUUUUUUUUUCUAAGACAGCAAGAACUUCUACAAGCAAGAUCUGGCCCAGAGUACUUGUAUCACAACAAGAGCCAAUGUUUGCAGCUUCCCACCUGCAUACAGCACACCAGGAGCCAGAAAUAAGAUACUCUACUCACCUGCUGAGGCAGGUCCUCUCUAGCUCUGUUCCUAUUUGAUUUCGGCUGGCCAAGGGCAGAAAAGUUGGAGAACGCUGAAGUGAUGUCUGACCCACCAGAUGAGAGACAUCUCUAGAAGUCACUGUGGUGAUGGAUUCACUUAACACCACAGCACAAAAGACAGUACUGGAACUGGCCUGAGAAGGACCCUUCUGACCUGACACCUGCACGUGGAAAGAAUAGGUGCAGCAGAAGACAGUCUUAAUUAAAAACCAGCAUGCUGCCAAGAUUUGGGACUGAAGUGUAAUGCCUGCUUUGCAGCAACUACAUUGAAUAACUGCUUCCUUGCUAGAACAGUGGGAAAACAAUUUAUCUGAAGAGACCUAGCGCCCUUCAGAGAGUAUGGCUAAAUACCAGCGUAUGCAUACCAGACUAUAUUGGGAUGAUGCAGCUCUUUUAAUAAAGAAAUUUCUCGGAUAGCA